rnacentral:lncRNA from 1 species
AGCCAACAUGACCUCCCAAGAGCUUUCCUCCUGCCUUCCCACCACAGGCUUCUCAUUGGUUAUAUGUAUUUUGAAACAGGAAAUCUCGCCAUCCUCACCAAAGCCAUUUCCUUGAGAGGAUUUUAUCUGGUUUGUCUCCUUGACUCCAGGCAGGGCUCCAUUCCAACCAGAUGGAAGAAUGCAGACAUCUCACAUCAUUUACACCCAGAAGGCUGUCAGCAGCAGCGCUCAGGGAGUGAGAGUGUUUAAUCUCGAGGAGGAAAUAGAAUGUAUACACACCCUGCAAACUGAGAUGUUUUACGUUGGCUCUGGCUCCUACCGCCCCCCAUGUGUGGCAGCAGCUACCAAGACUCUACUGUGAAUCCCCAUGACUGUCAUCACCAGCUCCCGUUGGUCCCUGGGGUGGUUUGGCCGCAGUUACAUUGGCACAGUCAUUGGAAAAAUCAUUUCUGUACAUCGCAUCACUGGUGCAUCUGGGCUUCUGCCUGAAGCACAUGUCAGGAGGAAUUGUUGGCAACCCUGAGGGCAAGGACGCAUCUGCCUUGGGCUCCAGGGGUGGUGUGGCUUGCUGGAGUGGGAGGUGCGCAGCCCAGCAGGGUCAGACAUUUCAGUAUGCCACCCCACCCACCACACCCUACUCAGAGUGCAGGCCCCUGCGGCAAAAGCCUGUGCAUGUGCUUUUCUCUCACGGCCCUCAAGAGAGGCCAAAGCUUGUGUUACUCUCACUUGCAUCCUCUGAUGACCUAAAGAGGGGAGAGAGGUCAUUUUCAUGGGGCCAAUUCUAUUCUCUUUUUCUCUUCUCCCUUCUCCUCUUCUUCCUCUUUUUCCCCAUGACAUAUGUAUUAAAAAGUCCACAGACUCUGGUGUACUUCUGGUGGGAAUAUAAUUAAUAUGACCAUUGUGAUAUACUGUUAGUAACAUCUCAUAAAGCCAAAUAUAUAUGGAUACAGUAUGACCCAGCAAUCUCACUCCUAGAAAUAAACCCAAUAGAAAUGCAUGCAAUAGUGCAUCAAAAGGCAUGCACUAGAAUGGUCUUAGCAGCAUUAUUCAUAGUAGCCCCAAACUGGAAAUAAUACAAACGUCCAUCCACAGUAGAAUUGCUGAACAAUUUGUGCUAUACUUACUACAGCAAUGAGAAUGAACAAAAUGAACAACCUGCAGCAACAUGAAUGGACCUCACAAGGAUAAUGUUGAACAUAAGAAGCCAGGCACAAAAGAGUGCAUAUUUUUGUGUCUGACUCCAUUACAUGAAGUUCAAGAAGAAGAAACAUUAAUGUAUGGUUUUGGAAGGCAGGAUGUGGGGAGGUAGUUGGGGCAUGAGGAGGUUUUGGGGGUACAGGGUGGUGGCAGUGUUUUGCUUCUGGUUCUGGGGGAUGGCUAAGUGUGUGUUCAUUUCAUGUAAGUUCAUAUGCAUUUGUGCAAUUGCCUGUAAAGUUGUCAUACUUCGAUAAUAUUAAAAAUAUGAAAAAUAAAAAUAUAAAGCCCAUAUGGGAGAGCACACUUCUCUGCAUUUUUUUUGCACUUUGGCGAUGAGCUGACAGAGGGGUUGUUAACAAGCACCCUACUUGCUCACUGUGCUUGGUAGGAUCCUCAACCUAGCGAGUCCCACCCCAUUCC